GGCACUCCCUUCCUGGGCCGCGGUGCGCCGCCGGGGGCGCUGCCGCCGCCGGGUCUCCCCGCGCUAGGAGGAGAACAGCUGGAGCCGAGGGGGAGCGGCCUUCCUAAAACCUGCUCUGGAAACAAAGCAUGACGUGUAGGCCGAAUCUACGGCCAGGGAGGUGUGGCCCCGAGGUGACCAGGCCGGCCGAGGGGCCCGCACGCAUCCGCACUGAGGGAUCCCGACGGGCGGACAGGCCCCGAAGGGCCGAUGUGGCUCAGGAAGGAGUUGACCAUGUGGGAACGUGGUGACCUAGACCCGAAGGACCCUGAGUGGCCAGAUGACCCGACAGGCAUAAAUGUUGUGAAGGCUGGAUUGGCAGGGUUAAGGGGUUUGGGAAAUCUACACUGAGGUAAUCCGGCGAUCACUAGCUUUAAUUGAUGUCCAACCCUUGGUUAAGGCCAGCCAGUCUUCCUAAAUUGCUGCCUGCCUGAGGACGCCAGAAGAACAAGUGCCUGUCCCUUUCUCCUGCCUUUGACGUUUUUCUAGCAAUGGAGCUGAGGAUAGAAGAGUCGUGAUCCUGUAGAUGUGGAAGUACCUAAUACAUUUACUUCACUGACUUGAUAAGAUACUCAGAAGUGGAAUGGUUAGAUCCUAUGGAACUACAGUUCUAUUUUUAAUUUUGUGAGGAACCUCCAUACUCUUUUCCACAAUGGCUGCACCCAUUCCCACCAACAGUGCCCAAGGGUUCCCUCUUCUCUACAUCCUCAACACCCUUGUUAUUUCAUGUAUUUUUGAUAAGAACCAUCCUAACAGUUACAAGAUGAUAGCUCACUGUGGUUUUGACUUGCAUUUCCCUGAUGAUUAGUGAUGUUGAGUGUCUUUUCAUAUACCUAUUGACUAUCUGUGUGUCUUCUUUAGAAAAAUGUCUGUUCAGUAGCCAAAGCAAUCCUGAGAAAGAAGAACAAACCUGGGGGUAUUACGGUCCCUGACUUCAAGCUAUACUACAAAGCUACAGUAAUCAAAAGAGUACGGUACUAGCACAAGAGCAGACUCAUAGAUCAAUGGAACAGAAUAGAGAGCCCAGAUAUAAACCCAAGCAUAUAUGGUCAAUUAAUAAAGAACCCAUGAAUGUAUAAUGGGGAGAAGAUACCCUCUUUGGUAACUGGUGUUGGGAAAACUGGACAGCUGCAUGAAGAGAAUGAAACUAGAUUACUUCCUAACCCCAUACACAAAAGUAAACUCGAAAUGGAUCAAAGACCUGAAUGUAAGACAUGAAACCAUGGAAGUCUUAGAAGAAAACAUAGGAAAAAAUCUCUUGAACAUAACCAUGAGCAAUGUUCUCCUGGACACAUCUUGGGCAAGAGAAAGAAAAUAAAAAAUGAACAAGUAGGACUACAUCAAACUAAAAAUCUGUAUAGCAAAGGACACCAUCAGCAGAACAAAAAGGCAACCUACAAUAUGGGAGAAUAUAUUCAUAAAUGGUUUAUCCAAUAAGGAAUUAAUAUCCAAAAUAUAUUAAGAACUGACAUGCCUCAACACCAAAAAAAACAACUCAAUGAUCCCUCUGCCCAUGGGAGCCGUCCUAGCAGUCUAAACCAACUGUGGCCCAUGGGCCAAAUGUAAUUGACCACAUUUUGUACUUCGCAUGAAUGAGUUGGUUUUACAUUUGUAAGUGGUUGAAAAGCUUUUAAAGAACACUAGUUUGUGACAAGUGAAAAUUAUAUGAAAUUCAAAUGUGUCUAUAAAUAAAGAUUUAUUGGAACACAGCCACUGUCACUUAUUUACAUAUUGUCUCUGGCUGCUUUUGUGCUAUAAUGGCAGAGCUGAGCAGUUGUAAGACUGUUUGGCCAGAGUCCUUUACAGUUUGCCGAGCCCUCAUCUAGACAGCGCUGCCAUGCGGGCAGGAGGUGGGAGGCAGACGGGAGGAGCACUUGGAAAC